GGGUAGUGCCCGCCGACAAUCCAAUGCCUCUGAAAACUGGUGGACACCGAACCUUCAGGUCCCUUGGCAGACCCCGCUGGGGCCAAGCAGGAUACAAAGAAGCUGGUGGAUCCCUGAGGCCCCAGGGGAUGGCAGAACGGAGGAAUGAAAGAACCCAGACCCAAGGACAGACUACAGGCAGCCCAGUCUACCCAGGUAUAACCAUCAGAACACCACGAUCAAAACAAUAAACAACACCCACAGCAGUGUACGGCUUUGGACUUCUCGAAGCACUUGCACGCACAACAUCCCCUCACAACUGUGUCCUGGAGAGAAAUCGGGGGGUUCGUUCCAGUCCUCCAGUCACUGGCAGAGCCCGCAGGAGAGCUCGGCAUCUCUCCCCCUGACCUCUUUCCAAACGGA